AACGCUGGCGGCGUGCCUUACACAUGCAAGUCGUGCGAGAACGGUUCCUUCGGGAACCUAGUAGAGCGGCGAACGGGUGAGUAAUCCGUGAGCGAUCUGCCCGAGGGUGGGGGAUACCCCAGGGAAACCUGGACCAAUACCGCGUACAGCGUCGGGAGUGGAUGCCCGACGUGAAAGCCGGCCUCUUCCAUGCUGGCGCCUUCGGAUGAGCUCGCGGCCUAUCAGCUUGUUGGUGGGGUAACGGCCUACCAAGGCUAUGACGGGUAGCUGACGUGAGAGCGUGAUCAGCCACAUUGGGACUGAGACACGGCCCAGACUCCUACGGGAGGCAGCAGUGGGGAAUAUUGCGCAAUGGGCGAAAGCCUGACGCAGCGGCGCCGCGUGGGGGAGGAAGGCCCUAGGGUUGUAAACCCCUGUCAGGUGGGACGAACACCUUGUCGGAUAAUACCCGGCAGGACUGACGGUACCACCAGAGGAAGCUCCGGCUAACUCCGUGCCAGCAGCCGCGGUAAUACGGAGGGAGCGAGCGUUGUUCGGAAUUACUGGGCGUAAAGGGCGCGUAGGCGGCCUCGUAAGUCGG
rnacentral:rRNA from 1 species